AUGUGCACGCCGAUUCGUGUUCAAUGACGUUUCUGAAGAAAGAGGUAUUUUGCAAAGUGCCACCGGGGCUUCCCAAUGGUUUCCGUACUUGUUCUGAUGGCCACAGGUCUGGGAGUACAUGUCAUUACACAUGUUCUGACCGUUUCAUUCGUAAAGGAGGUAGCAGCGUAACCUGCAACGAAGAUGGCAAUUGGAAGGGCACACCUCCAACUUGUACUGCCAAACGAUGUGCCAAGUCCCUAAAUCCCGACAGGGGAGAAUUCAAAUACCCGGAUGGCACAGAUAUCGGUUCGUUAAGAUUUCUACAGUGCGCACGGGAGGGCUACACGCCAAACCCUCAAGGUCCCUCUGUAUGUAGUAUUAGCCAACGGUGGCUGCCGUCCCAUGCAAAGUGUGAAGAUACGAAAGCACCGCAGAUUAACAACUGCCCCAACGAGAUAAUCAUCAGAGCAUCAAGCGGUGAAAACGUGACGAAAGUGGAGUGGCCAGCGAUUACCGUAUCGGAUAAUUCAAAUGAGAAAAUCAAACUAACGAACAUGGCGAAAGCAAUGCCGGGCGAGGGUAUGUUUGAACUUGGAUCUACCUUGGUCAAAUUCACAGCCAAAGAUUCCAGCCAGAACCAAGCGGAACCAUGUGUUUUCAUCGUGGUUGUGCAAAGUGUUAUCUGCAGGAAUCCGUAUUUCAAAGUCAAAUACCUAACUUCGCGUUGUGAUGAAGGCAUGUCAGUUAGGAAAUCUUGUGUUCUGACUUGUGAACUGUCCCUCGAGCUGAUUGGCGAACAGUACAUCACGUGCACAUUGAAAGGAAAUACCAUGGAAGGCUAUUGGGCUUGGGAUAAUGGGACAGAUGUGGAUACAUACAAACCGUCUUGUCGUGUACACAACUGUACAUCCCUUCGUGCUCCAAACAAUGGCGGAAUGGUGUGUGACACUUGGGUAAAGGGCGCUCUGUGCCAGCUGCAGUGUGAGGAAGGGUAUGACAUUCCGUAUACUGCCACGUUCGAACGCAAGUAUAUUUGUGGCAUGGACUCGGGAGUCUGGUAUCCAGAUACCGUUCCUGACUGCAGUUGGCGUGAGCAUGGCGAAAAAUUGAGUAUGCCAGAGUACUAUUAUUUCCAGGGUCCAUGUGAAGAUGCUCAUGCUGAAAUAAAGGAUAACUUCCUGAAAGUAGUAUUCAGCGAUGGCCUCUGUCCUAACAUAGACCACUGUACAGUAGAGAACGUUAAGGUCAAAUGUGGAGACCAAAUUGAUGACGUAGAAUGGCUGAGGCUUCGCAAGCGUGAAGCCCGGUAUGGUCGAAGAAAGUAUAGAGGAAGGUACAGAAAGCGACCUAGUAGGAACAGAAAGCGACCUAGCUACAUCAUGUUUGAUGUAGUAGUACUAAAUGCCAACGUCCAUAACCGUGACUUUGCUGCAAACAUGAGAUCCUCGACGUUUAAACUUAAAACCAUUGCUAGACGAAUAGCUAAAACAGCCUUCCGAGCUGGUGGCAGACUGAUCCGGGCAACGAGAGCACGAGUGAGAGACGCAAUACCUAUCUGUGGACCUGGAUACAAGGUCGGAUACUUCCAUAAAGAUUCGUGUGCGCCAUGUCCAUCCGGGUCCUAUCACAAUUCCACGAGGGAUGAAUGCAUGGCGUGUGGGUACGGGCAGUAUCAGAGCCAGGAGGGACAGACCAGCUGUUCGAAAUGUCCUGAUGGCAACACCACGGUCACACUUGCUAAUGUAAACGUUUCGUCCUGUGAAGAAAUGUGUGAUCCCGGAACAUAUUCCAACAACGGCGUGGUUCCAUGUUUCAAAUGCCCAUUAAAGUCUUACCAACAUGAAGGUAACAAGAUGGAGUGUAUUCCAUGUCCGGUUGGUACAACCACAGAGGAGGAAGGUGCAAACUCAGCUAAACAAUGUGUUGCAUUCGACUUCUUGUUGCGAGGACCAAUUACAGUCCCCUUGGAAGGCAUGAAACCUUCUCGAAUUUGCGACUUCACGUUUUCUGUCUGGAUCAAGCUCGUAGACACAGAUUACGGUGGAAUCAAGUUCCAGGUGUACAGCCCUACUAUUGGGACGGCCUUAGAUAUUUAUGUUUCUUCCGACAUUCGAGUGAUCCUAAGAGAGAGGGAUGAAUUGCAUGUUGAGAACGCUGUGGAAAACAAGUGGCUUCAUGUGGCAGUUACAUGGUCUCACCCAACGCUCACGAUGUACGUCGGAGGGACAGCCAUUGCAGAAGAGGUAUUUCAAGAAGCCCAAGACUGUCCCUCCUCGACACCAUCUGUGAUGGAGAUUACAAUAAGAGGACAUGCUUACAUGUAUCUACGAGACCUUAACUUCCUGCCGUCAGCCAAUUCGGAGGUCGUGAGGAACAUGUCUACAACGUGUAGUUCGUACAGCCAAGACUCUCUCUUCUCCCUGGUGCAGAAGGACAUGGCUGCUUUAGACAAGGUGUUGGAAGUUGUACCCAGCACUUGCAUGAAACCCGAUGUCUGCAUCAGUCAACCAUGCGGAGACAACGUCUGUAUCCCUACCGGAAGUGCGUUCAGAUGCGUAUGCAGGGGAGGUUACUCUGGUGACAAAUGUGACGUGCCUCCUGAUUUGUGUAAAGAUAACAUAUGCAGCAACAAUUCCACGUGUCUAGUGACCUCAUACGGGUAUCGGUGUGAGUGUCAUCCGGGAUACAGAGGAAAUCUGUGCAGAGACAAGAUAGCUGAUGGCGGCUGGGGUGGAUGGAUGGACUGGGGACCAUGUUCAGUAAGCUGUGGUAAAGGCACGAGGACAAGGCACCGUUACUGUGACAGUCCUUUCCCCGACAUAGGUGGAAAGCCAUGUGAUGGCAAUGCACUAGAAACGACACCCUGCCAAAGGCAGAUGUGUCCAGAAUGUCUUGCACAAGACCUUAUCGUCGGAAAGGGUAUCAUAAAAACCUGCGAUAAAGAACACGGAUCGAUUACCUGCAACGUGGAAUGUGAAAUAGGUUUAGUGUUUCCAGAAAAGCCAUUUGUCUACACCUGCAAGGAGGGUACAUGGAGGCCAACAAAACGCACUGUGUCAUGUACAGAACCAGUCACCCCCAUUACAGUUGGAAUCAACUAUACUGUGGUGUUUGGGAACUCCGUCGACAGCCAUGUCAUCAGCACAGCACUGAGCAAAGUGGGAAGCAAUUUCAGUUGUGCUCAAGAUGAAACCUGUUCUACUGCCGUUGGUACCUCCAUCUGCAGCGACUACGUUAGACUCUGUAGGAAAUAUGGUGGAGUAUAUUAUGGCUCUCUAACGGUUCAGAGGACCAUACAACAAGACACAAUUGAUGUCUAUAAACUGCAAAAGAACAAACAAGUGAUGACGUACCUGUCCCCACUGUUCGCAACCUGGAAUGUGUUCACCUACUUCAGCGAUGAGGCAACAACGGUGGAUCACAGGGAGUUGGAAAUGUCUGUUUCUAACGACACUCUUAUGGUAUAUCCAUAUGAAAGACCAUCAAUGGCGGUUGAAGUUCCUGGACAGUUUGGCACCAUCAUGAAGACUUGGAAGCUCCUUGACAACUCCAACUGGGAGGUGAGGGGCAACGGUUACUCUGACUUCCAAAUUACUCUUGCGAAUCAGAGUCAAUCACAGGAACCGAAAAUCUUGGCAGCCUUUCAGACCAUGACCUGUCCUCGUGGAGCCGUUCAAGGAGGCGUUUUUUGUAUCAAGUGUCCACCAGGGAAAAGGCACGACAAUCACAACUGCAAACGUUGUCGUCACGGAUUCUACCAAGAUGUUCCGGGAAUGUCUGCUUGUGUACCUUGUCCUGGCUUCCAGACCACAGAGCUUCUGGGAAGUGCGGACAUCGCGCAGUGUAAAGAUACUGAUGUGUUAGACUUGACCCUCGUCCUCGGGAUGCGUGACACCAAAAUAGGCAUCCUUCGCCUUCACAAAAUGCAGUUUGAUAGGGUGACCUUGAACAGAACUGAUGGAUUUGUUGAUCUCCUCGCCUUUGACCCGACAGAUGAGUUUAUAUACUUCACUACUCAAGAGCCCACCACUAUAGGGAGAAUAACAAUGGGAGGUCUGAACGAAGAAACGCUAAUUAAAAGCCCACAAGACACCAUUAUAACUGGAUUAGACAUAGAUAUUGCCAGUGGUCUUUUGUUCUACACAACAUUUCACGGGGUGCUGGCUGCUCUUCACGUCAGCUCUCGUGCAGAGCACAUUCUCCUGUCCAAUCUAACCAAACCUCGAGGCCUUGUCCUUGACCAAAAAAUUCGGAGCCUACUGGGUCGAGAGCGACACCAUCUACUACCUCCACUACAGCAGUAAGAUGGCUAAAGCAGUUCUCGUGGACACCAACGCAGUGUGGAACCCGACCUUACACAAACAUGGAAAUAAGAUCACGUGGAACGCCUACACAAGACUCCGUGAAGCGUACAUCAAUGGCUCCAAUUUACAGACAAUUGCUUCAAACUUCACAUCCAGAUUCGGAUACACGGAA